GCAUCCGUAGCUCAGCUGGAUAGAGUACUCGGCUACGAACCGAGCGGUCGGAGGUUCGAAUCCUCCCGUAUGCACCA
rnacentral:tRNA from 3 species